rnacentral:rRNA from 1 species
CAGUCGCCGCGGUAAUACGUAGGGUGCAAGCGUUAAUCGGAAUUACUGGGCGUAAAGCGUGCGCAGGCGGUUUGUUAAGACAGAUGUGAAAUCCCCGGGCUCAACCUGGGAACUGCAUUUGUGACUGGCAAGCUAGAGUGUGGCAGAGGGGGGUGGAAUUCCGCGUGUAGCAGUGAAAUGCGUAGAGAUGUGGAGGAACACCGAUGGCGAAGGCAGCCCCCUGGGCCAAUACUGACGCUCAUGCACGAAAGCGUGGGGAGCAAACAGGAUUAGAUACCCCUGUAGUCCCUGUCUCUUAUAC